rnacentral:misc_RNA from 1 species
UUAUUAAUCUUCGUCAUUUCUGAAUACAAGCUUUUCUGGUUCCUAGUAGAGUGCAAAUGGUCAGGUAAGACGUAGGUAACUGCAACCUAAAGAUCUCUCUUAAAGGGAGAAUCUGAAUAAUACGUAAGGAAAAUAGUCAAACUAUUAGGCUGACGCAAACGGCAGUUCGGCGAAGAGGCCAUAAAACGGAAUAAAACCAAAGUAAACGAAGCAGAGUAGAUCGGUCAUGGAUAGAUAUUGGUAAAAUAAAUACACGAGAGGUCGGCAAAUCAGGUCUCAUUUUCCCCGUCUAGCCAAGAGAUAUUGAUAAGUCCUAUCCCCAACCUCUUUAAACUUCAGGAUCCUUAUCUCUAGGUUCCUAGGACACCAAAAUUCUGGAGAUCGGAAAAAUACCUUUCAGGCACCUUCCUAAUUUAAAAGAGAUCGGAGGAGA